rnacentral:rRNA from 1 species
GAUGAACGCUGGCGGCGUGCCUAAUACAUGCAAGUAGAACGCUGAAGCUUGGUGCUUGCACCGAGCGGAUGAGUUGCGCACGGGUGAGUAACGCGUAGGUAACCUGCCUCUUAGCGGGGGAUAACUAUUGGAAACGAUAGCUAAUACCGCAUAAAAGUCGACAUCGCAUGAUGUUGACUUGAAAGGUGCAAUUGCAUCACUAAGAGAUGGACCUGCGUUGUAUUAGCUAGUUGGUGAGGUAACGGCUCACCAAGGCGAGGAUACAGAGCCGACCUGAGAGGAUGGUCGGCCACACUGGGACUGAGACACGGCCCAGAGGCCUAGAGGAGGCAGCAGGAGGGAAUCGGCGGCAAGGGGGGCAACACUGAGCGAGAAACGCCGCGGGAGGGUAGAAGGAUGUCGGAUCGGAAAGCUCGGUUGUAAGGGAGGAAAGAGUGUGAGAGUGGAAAGUACACACUGUGACGGUAACUGAUCAGAAAGGGACGGCUAACUACGUG